GUGCUUGCUUAGGCAGCACAUAUACUAAAAUUGGAACAAUACAGAGAAGAUUAGCAUGGGCCCUGUGCAAGGAUGACAGGCAAAUUCACGAGCCUUUCCAUAUUUUU
rnacentral:snRNA from 1 species